rnacentral:lncRNA from 1 species
GCAAAUACAUCCUAUUAAAAUUUAAAUUAAAUUAACAACCAUUUUAAACACUAGAAAAUAAGCAAAAUAAUCUUUCAAUUGAUAUAACCAUGAGAAUUCAGUUGUUACAAAAUAACAGAAAUAUAGAAAACUUGUUCUUAUUCACAGCAUAUACUACUGACAGUUUCAAAACACAAAAAAUCAGGACCUCGAAUUCGCGGUAAUCCCUUUUCAACUAUACUGACUUUUGAACACCCAAAUUUAUAAUUGUUUGAGUUGCUGCCUUUUCCUUUUCUUUCUCUUCAAGUAUCCGUUUUUUCUGCUGCAUCAAAGGAAACUAGAAAUUGUUGGUCAUCCCAUACUUUCUUGUCAAAACUUAGUCCCAGUUCAGUCAGUAGUUCAUAUGCUAUUGUACCCCUCAUCAAGUCCAUUGUUUCCACUCCAUAGUCUGACAAAAAUAUUUCAUAUUCAGAAAUUGCGUGCUCCAUGAAUUUGAUAACAAACAAUGCGCAAUCCACCCUGAAAUAUUUAAUUAAUGCAUAAAUCAAAUUGCAUUCAUCGUAAUAAGGAAUAACAAUUCAAAAUUCUAAAGCUUACGAAGAACCUUGAUGCGGCAAAUCAGGUGCUUCAUUUAUAGGACCAUCUUUGUAACAAACAUCUCCAGGUUUGAUUAGUUUCUUGUAACAAACAUCUCCAGGUUCUUCCUCACCAAGUUCCUCAUUGUCAGUUC